ACGGUUCACGGCCCUAUCUCAAGGGGCUCACGUAUUUUAACUAAUAUUUGUACUUAAGAGUUCUUACAGCACAUGAUAAAUAGAUUUUGGAAAAGUAUUCGAACGAAUAUGAUAAACACCAUAACAUGAAAAGGUAACACGUUAACCAGUGGCGACUCAGGUACUUCGCUGAACUAAAGUUUAUCACUAUAUUAUCUCAUUGAAGCAUGUGAGCAUGAUGAGAAAAUAGUAACCUCGACAUUUGGGCCAAACCAUGACUUAUAUUAUCCUUGAUGAGACUAAUGAAAUUAUAACAUUGUCUUGAAAGCUGCACAACUCCUGCAUAUGUGCCUAUACUUGAAACAUGAAUUGAUUAGUACGAAGCUGCACACCUUUUGCAUAUGUGCUAAGAUUUAAAACACGAUUUGAAUUAUCUUACUUGGGGAUCAUAGUUACGCCAGCCUUGUCACAAUCAUCAAAAGUAUUAAAAUCAACCACACAUAUACACAUAACAUAUUUAUUCGAAUCAUGCACAUGUUACCAGGGGAGGGAGUAAGGUAUAUACCCUUAUUGGCAUUCAUUCGAAAAAAUUUCAAAUCGGGAAUGAUAAUUUACAGCACUUGAGAACCUACUUCGGCAGAAGUGUAAGCAGCAUAGUGGAGAAAUACUGUUGUCGCAUAUACUUAAGCCCAUCGCGGGAAGAACACUGCUCUUGCAAACAUUUAAGCCCAUCAUGGGAAAUACUGCUCUCGCAGAUACCUAAGCACAUCGCGGGAAAUACUGCUCUCGUAGUCACCUAAGCCCAUCGCGGGAAAUACUUCUCUCGCAUACAUCUAAUGUAGGAAUAUCUAAGCCGCAUAGCAAAAAAUAUUGCUCUUGAAGAUAUCUAAGCCGUUUUCAGAAUGCCUAAGUUGUUUACAGUGCAGAAUGUCUUAAGCCAUUUUCAGUGUAUCUGAGCCGUUUUCAGCUAAGCAGUGUUCAGUUCAGAAUAUCCCAGCAGUGUUCAGCACGGAAUAUCUCAGUCGUGUUCAACACAGAAUAUCUAAGUCGUGUUCAGAUCAUAAUAUCUAAUCCAUGUUCAAAUCAGAAUAUCUAAGUUGUGUUCAACUCAGAAUGUCUAAGUAGUUUUCAAUGCAGGAAGUCUAAACCACUCUCAGCUUUGACAAGAUUGCAUACUACUUCGACAUCUUCUUAUGAUGGUUUUCUUGUUCGUCCAUCACAAAGUAUUUAUAUUGCUCAUUUCUGCAAGACAUUUAAUAUGUGGUAUUAGCACUGGCUUUCUUAUGCGCCCAAUAAAAUGAAAGUCGAUCAUAUUUGACAACAUUCAAGAAUCAAAGAAGAAAUCAAGUAUGCAACCACAACUCCAAAAUCAAGGAAAAAUUCUUAUCUUUGAUUAUUGGCAGCACUGAAAAUUCUUAUGUGUUGAUAAUUUGCAGGACUAGCAUAUUUUGUCUUUACAGUUUUGCAAAAACUGACGCUUUUUAUCUCUGAUGAGUUUUGACCCUCCAACCUUUGUUUGUGGGCAUCGCUGAAAUGCUUGGUCUUUUACUGUGAAGUAUUUUGAAUGUGUCAUGUUAUAGAGUGAAAACAUCUCGUCUUAAAUGAAUUGCAGGGCUAUAAUACCUUGUUUAUUUAACUGACUUGAGAGAGCGGCACAACGCUGGCUCUAACAACACUUUAUUGGUUGAACACGAAGAAGACCUGGCUCAACCAGACCAGAGGGAGUAGCUAAUGAGGACUAAAUUGUGUACCAGCGUUGUGCUUAACAGUGCUGGAAUAUUUCUCUUAAUUAUUAUUAUUAUAAAAUUUUAUUAUUACUGUUAUCUUGAAUAUUUAGUGCAGUGCUGACUUAACAUGGCUUACUUUAUUAAUCGAGAAUUAUCUUAGCGGCUUAACCCAGCUCUCGCCUUGGCAAUCUAACCUUGGCUCCCAGCUUGGACAAUUCGACGUUACUUCAUCUCGGAUAUCUUAACGUUGACUAUUCAGUGCUGACUAAUGUAAUAGUGGCUUAGGCCCAUCUACUUGAAUUAAUAGGCCUAAGGGCUUUAGGUUUACUUUAAUGCAUAUAAAUAGAAGCUUGAUGAUUAGAUUGAGGAGCCUCCUUCAUUUUCUUAGCUCAUAAUGUAAAGUAUAACACUCAAGCAUAGUGAAAAAUCCUGUGGACGUAGAUCUUAUGAUCGAACCACGUAAAAGCCUCACGUCGUUUAUCGUUUUCCUUCAACCCGUUAAUUCUUGUUACAUCAAUGCCAUUGUAACAUUCAUUAUCAAUUGUUGAUUCAAAAUUAUCAAUAUAUAAGUAUGAUAUGCCAUUUAUACAUAUCAUUUUUAGAAAGUAUAUAUGAAAAAUAAUUGAAAAUAAAAGUUACUAAUUAUAGUAAUAUGUAGCCGUUAUUAUAUUACAUAGAUAUAGAUUAUAGUGGCUUGAUUAAUCUUAAAUGUUCAAAAUUUCUUUUAUACUUGUUGACUAAAUGUUCAUGAAAGAAAGAAUAAAUAAAUACAUAUAUUUAAAAUUCAUAUAUGAUCAUAAAUCUUAUCUAUAUUAAUAUUUUGAUAAUUUUAUUGAUGUUUAUUAACUAUUUUAUAUACAUUUACCGAAUAUUUUAUGAUUAUUUUAGACAAAAACACGUUAUUACAUAGUAAUUAAUUAAAAAAAAUAUGUUAUUACAUACUCCCUCCAUCUUAUAAAACAUGAACAAUUGGGAGUGGAACGAGUCUUAAGAAAUGUUAGUUGAGAGUUAUUAUGAGCUGAAAAUGAGUCCUACUUCAUAAAGUGUUAUGAAAGUAAUGAGUUAAUUGAGGAAAAGUAUUGUAAUGGGUAAAAUCCGUAUAAGCCGAAACUAUACGGCCCAACGCAGCUCGAAACGCCCAGCUCGUCUCGGCAGACAGAGCAGCAAGAGCUCAGAGGCCAGAGCAGAGCAGCUCAGAGGUCAGAGCAGCACAGCUCAGAGGCCAGAGCAGAGCAACUCGGAGGCCAGAGCGUCGGCAUAGCCCGGAGGUACGUGCAACAGCGCAGCCCUGCCCGGAAGCGCUCGACUGCGCAGCGCAGCUGGGCAGCGUAACAGCGCAGCCCUGCGGCGCAUGCCGCACCCUGUCAUGAGUUAUAAUGGGUAAAAUCCGUAUAAGCCGAAACUAUAAGGCCCAACGCAGCCACAGGCGCCCAGCUCGUCUCGGCAGACAGAGCAGCAAGAGCUCAGAGGCCAGAGCAGCACAGCUCGAAGGCCAGAGCAGAGCAGCUUGGAAGCCAGAGCAGAUCAGCUCGGAGGCUAGAACGUCGGCGCAGCCCGGAGGCACGCACGUCAGCGCAGCCCGGAGGCUCGCGCAACAGCACAGCCCUGCCCGGAAGCGCUCGACUGUCCAAUGCAGCCCUGUCCGGCAGCGCUCGACUGCCCAGCGCAGCUCUGACCGGCAGCGCUCGACUGCCCAGCACAGCCCUGACCGGCAGCGCUCGACUGUCCAGCGCAGCCCUGACCGGCAGCGCUCGAUUGCCCAGCGCAGCCUUGUCCGGAAGCGCUUGACUGCGCAGCGCAGCCCUGAGGCACGCGCAACAGCGAGCCCUGCCCGGAACCUGGACUGCGCAGCGCAGCCCUGAGGCACGCACAACAGCGCAGCCUUGCGGCGCAUGCCGCACCCUAUCAUUCUAAUGGGUAAAAUUUGUAUAAGCCGAAACUAUACGGCCUAACGGGCCUGCCCGGUAAAACGAUCCAUACCACAUUCAUAGCAUAAGGUCCAAAGUAGGCCCAUAUGCGGGAAAUACGUGAACCCACUAGGAAAAACCCUAAACUUAACAGUUACUUGGUGACUAGGUCAGACGAGAGUCACGGAAGAUCGUUUCCUAAGAAGUCGGAACCGCUAGGGUUUCAAUGAGCAUUCCAACAAACCCUAACCCUAGUCGCCCCGUAACCUAUAUAUACUAAUUCACUAACGCAAUCAUGGUAUCCGCAACCACUCGUAUUCACUCUUACACUCGCACACGAUCUCUCACUCUCGUUAUCUCCCGCUCUCCCCGCUCUUCUGUUCCGCCUCCACGCUCACAACUCUCAAGGGUUCUGAUCGCUCGACUAGCCCUGCUAGCCCGGACGUCCGUCGCCCCUUAUUCCACAUCGCUCAAUAGCUUUGACUCCGGCCAGCGGGACACCCUGAUCAUCCGGAGAACACUCUUAUUACUAUCUAUUUCCUAUAAUUUAUUUAUUUUAUUACGUUACUCACGUCUGUUAUUUAUAUCAAUUCACUGACUUGAGCGUCGGAGGCCCUUCCAUCGACACCUCCACCGGUGCUCAUCGAAGGACUCUAACGUUGCUUGUGGUUUCAGGUUGCUAGUGCACGUCGAUCCAAACGUGACUGACGUCACUUCCGUAAUUAUCGGAUUCACCCCCAAUAAUUUGGCGCCCACCGUGGGGCCCUAGCAAUCAAAGAAUUCCGACAAGCCGUGCCUAAAUUACACCAUGAGUACUCCGAAUGAUGCACACGACCCGAACAAUGCCUCAAACCAAUUGGGUUCAACCCAAUCGGAGUUGCUUGCCCAAGUGGAGGUGAAUGCCCGAAAAAACAAAAUGCUGAACUACUCGCUCGGUUGAAUGCUUUCACCCAGAUCCAGACGCCUCCUCAGAUCCAAACACUUCGUACUAACCGAUUCCGAGUUCCUGUCAACCCCAUGGUGGACAUAGAUGAUAUCCUGCUCACACCCCAUGGAACUGAGAUCAACCCAGAUGACCCUUCAUCAUCGGUAAGAAAUAAUAGAUCGGAGACUAUCCAUCCUAACCUGGGUACCCUUCUUGUGAAUGCAGGUGAAACACGUACCCUAGAUCAGACGCCCGGAACAACCGAGACAAACGUAAUGGGUGCCCUCACCUAGGCCAACCUGGCGACUGGGGAAAUGGACCAGUCUACCUCGAUAGGCCAGACCGAUAUCGCCCAUGGGCAUGUAGUGCCAACAGGACCACACGAAGAUGCUCUCAUGCGUGACGCCCCAACGGGUCAACCAGAUGGACCAAGGCGAACAGUUCCAAUCGGUCAGAAUGGCAGCACUCAAGAUCAACCACCUCCUGGCGAUCAGGGCCGACAUGGCAUGCCCAGCACCCACCAGAACUUGGACCCCGCUUUGGCUAGAAGGUUGGCGGAUAUGGACGCCAUCAUUCAACGAAUCCCAGGAGUUCCGGCUCCGAUAAAGAAAAGUGCAUAGAGUUGUUACGCCGACUCUCCUUUCGUGGAUGAGAUAGCUUUGGUGGAGAUGCCCAGAAAAUUCAGCUUUCCACACAUGAAGAUGUUUGACGGCGCAUCCAACCCAGACGACCAUAUAGCUCAGUACCGUCAAAGAAUGUUCACCGUUGCUAUCCCUCGUGACAUGAGGGAGGCGUGCAUGUGUAAGAGGUUCGGUUCUAGCCUAAUAGGACCAGCCCUCCAGUGGUAUACGAAUCUUCCUAAUAAUUCAAUUAGUUCUUUUGCUAAACUAACAGAUGUUAUUGUUGAACAGUACGCAAGCAGCAGGAAAUUAGAAAAAAAUCUCAGAAGACUUGUACGCCAUUGUCCAAAGGCAUGGCGAACCUCUUCGGGACUACAUCGGGCGCUUCAACAAAGAGAAAGUGUCAAUCACCAACUGCAGCGAACAAACCGCUAUCACGGCCUUCCGUAAGGGCCUUCUGCCAGGGUCGGACUUAUACAAGACACUUACUAAGUAUCCAUGCAAGACUAUGGAAGAUGUGUUGGUCCAGGCUUGGGCUCAAAUUAAGUGGGAAGAGGACCAGUACAACAUGCAGAGAGUCUUCCCGCCAGAGAGACCCGAAAGAUACUACAGGGUCCAUAGGAGGACCGGUCGUGACAAUCGUGACAGACGAACCGAGCCCUACACGCCAUCUCAUAGAGGAAACAAAGGGAAAAGAGAUACAGAAAAUGAGGGAUAAAAAAUAAGGAGAUAGCGUACAAGAAUGGAAAUAUUCAUGUUUUUGUGAGACGCCCCAAAAUGACAAAUUAUUCAUAUUUUUGUGAGACGAAGGGAGUUCUUAAUAUGAUCAUUUAGGGUAGAGUUAGGAUACAAACUCAUUUUAAAAUAAAAACUACAAACCAUGAAAAUGUAACAAAUUCUAUGAGUAGAAAAGAUUAUUGCCUCCAUCCCAUAAAUAAUGGCUUAUUUCUUUUGGGCACGAAGAUUAAGGAGUGUUUAAUUAAGGUGAUAAAGUUGGUGGACCACAUAUUUAAGCAUUAAAUUAGUAAAAAUUGUGUACGUGUGUUGGCCUAAUGGUAUAAAGUUAAUGCCUAAGAUCUGAGCUCCUGUGUUAAAUCAUUAGCUGCGCGGUCUUUAAAAUUUAUUUAUUUACUUUAUAAUUUAACCCAAAAAAAUUAGUAAAAGUAAUUGUGAGUUAAUGAAAAAGUGGUGGCCCAUUUUUUACUUUAAUUGCAACUUGAACAUACCUCUACUUUAAGUUAUAAAUCUGCCAAAAUUCAAACAUGUUGCGAAUUUUAACAUCUCAUAAAAAGAAUCACUUGAAUCAUUGAUGUUUUUUCAUUUCAAAAAGUGAGCAAAAAUUUCUAUCAUCUCAAUACUCCAAUAAAUCCAUCAGCCACAUCACAAGAACAUGCAAUAAUCAGAAAGGUAGGGACCCAACAACAUGCAAUAAUAUGAAAAUCCAUCACCCAUAGUACAAGAACACAGUAAAAUGGUAGAUCUUACCCAAAAAAAAGUCGAUAGCAGGAUCUUCAACAUAGAAAUGAGCAGGUGUAUAAGCCACCAACCAAUCUUCGGAAACAACUUCGUCCCAAGAUUCCUCACAUAGUAAAGAACAUGAAUUAAAGAUAGAAACAACAGAUACAAAAGAACUGUUUGUAACCAGAGGAGAGAUGGUACUCCUUACAUGGAUUUGGGAGGGGCGACGAUAGAUCGAAGCCCUAGCCACGAGUGAAGCCCAAGCGAAUCCGGAGCUCUACCAUAUUCAAACGUAGCUUCAAUCUUGUCCAAGCCGAGGGAGGCCUCUCUAGAGUCUGAUAAAGGCAGUGACCAUGGGAAAUCAAGCUCCGGCACCGAGCCAUCACUGCAGCGCAAGAUUGAACGAAGAAGAAACGGCGACAGAGUAUUUUGGCCGCGAUAGAACAAAUUGGGGCAGAGGAUUAGGGUCGCGAUAGCAAGAGAGAUAGAGCGGUGCAAGACGAGAGACACAAGGCGACGCACGGUGGAAGAUCACCGAUUAGAUUUUCGGAGGAGAAAUAUAGAGCAGCGCAAGAGGAGAGAGCCACGUGUGGAGAUAGAUAGAGAGAGGCGUGGGUGGAAUUAGGGUUAGAGUAAAAAAAAUGGUUUAAAUA
rnacentral:lncRNA from 1 species